ACCCCUACGGGACGCAGCAGUGAGGAAUAUUGGUCAAUGGGCGGGAGCCUGAACCAGCCAAGUCGCGUGAAGGAAGAAGGUACUUAGUAUUGUAAACUUCUUUUGUCGGGGAACAAAGGCGGAGACGCGUCUCCGGAUGAGUGUACCCGAAGAAAAAGCAUCGGCUAACUACGUGCCAGCAGCCGCGGUAAUACGUAGGUGGCGAGCGUUAUCCGGAAUGAUUGGGCGUAAAGGGUGCGCAGGCGGUCCUGCAAGUCUGGAGUGAAACGCGGGAGCUCAACUCAUGCAUGGCUUUGGAAACUGGG
rnacentral:rRNA from 1 species